rnacentral:rRNA from 1 species
ACGGUACCUGCAGAAGAAGCACCGGCUAACUACGUGCCAGCAGCCGCGGUGAUACGUAGGGUGCGAGCGUUGUCCGGAUUUAUUGGGCGUAAAGAGCUUGUAGGCGGUUAGUCGCGUCGUAAGUGCAAACUCAGGGCUUAACCCUGAGCCUGCUUUCGAUACGGGCUGACUAGAGGAAGGUAGGGGAGAAUGGAAUUCCCGGUGGAGCGGUGGAAUGCGCAGAUAUCGGGAGGAACACCAGUGGCGAAGGCGGUUCUCUGGACCUUUCCUGACGCUGAGAAGCGAAAGCGUGGGGAGCAAACAGGCUUAGAUACCCUGGUAGUCCACGCCGUAAACGGUGGGUACUAGGUGUGGGGGACAUUCCACGUUCUCUGUGCCGUAGCUAACGCAUUAAGUACCCCGCCUGGGGAGUACGGCCGCAAGGCUAAAACUCAAAGGAAUUGACGGGGCCCCGCACAAGCGGCGGAGCAUGCGGAUUAAUUCGAUGCAACGCGAAGAACCUUACCUGGGUUUGACAUAUACCGGAAACGUCUAGAGAUAGGCGCCCCGCAAGGUC